CCAUCGAGGGUUAAUUAAUACCAACGAUGUCUGUGGAUGCUUACUCGAUGCAUGAAUGGAAGUCAUAGAACAAGAAUUAAGAACGAAUGAAAUAAUUCGUGUGAUAAGUGAUAAUGCAAAAUAAAUGAGCAUACGAAAUUAGAUGUGAAGAAAAUAAAAUGUGUGGACGAAAAAAAAGAAAGAGAAAAGAAAAAGUGGCAACUCGAAUGUAUGCGAACAAAGUGAGUGGCGAUACUCUUGGCUUGACAAGCAAACCGCUCACCUGUGAGGGACUGCCUGUAGAAACCCUCGCCUUCGACGUCGUACCUCGUAAAUAAAAACCUCGGGACCUUGGGUGCUGCUCGACAUCGCCACCGUCGCCCGCAGCACCGGCAGGAAGUCCCGAGGGUUUUCACCCGAGCUUGGCGAACACAGAGAAAUGGCGACAGAUCGCAGCCUCUCGAUAAGAAUGGGUACUCCCCGUUCUAGCCCCGCAAGGAGUCGCGUGCCCCACUGGCUUCGGUAGAUGGACAAGGCAUUGAUAGAAAAAAUGGAGCGUUACGUAUACGAAGCCCUCUCUGUAAUAGUAACCGCGUGACACAUUUACGAUGUUUGAUUUCUUAUUUGUAUAGGUUUGCUUAGUUCGUGUGAAUGAUGGUUAUAGUGUGUUAUAGUGUGUCUGGUGUAUAUGCGUGUUGGGUGCUCCUCGGGUGUUAUUUAUGUGUCAAUAUCGUAGCGUAUUACGUUUUUGUUUAUUUGCUGAUUUAUAAAGUUAUGAAUUUUAUAUGCUAUAUGUGCCUAAUAGAUUAGAAAUAUCA